rnacentral:rRNA from 1 species
GACGAACGCUGGCGGCGUGCUUAACACAUGCAAGUCGAACGGAAAGGCCCUGCUUUUGUGGGGUGCUCGAGUGGCGAACGGGUGAGUAACACGUGAGUAACCUGCCCUUGACUUUGGGAUAACUUCAGGAAACUGGGGCUAAUACCGGAUAGGAGCUCCUGCUGCAUGGUGGGGGUUGGAAAGUUUCGGCGGUUGGGGAUGGACUCGCGGCUUAUCAGCUUGUUGGUAGGGUAGUGGCUUACCAAGGCUUUGACGGGUAGCCGGCCUGAGAGGGUGACCGGCCACAUUGGGGCUGAGAUACGGCCCAGACUCCUACGGGAGGCAGCAGUGGGGAAUGUUGCACAAUGGACGGAAGCCUGAUGCAGCAACGCCGCGUGCGGGAUGACGGCCUUCGGGUUGUAAACCACUUUCGCCUGUGACGAAGCGUGAGUGACGGUAAUGGGUAAAGAAGCACCGGCUAACUACGU